AGGAGCCUACGGGGCGCAGCAGUGGGGAAUAUUGCACAAUGGGGGAAACCCUGAUGCAGCGACGCCGCGUGAGUGAAGAAGUAUCUCGGUACGUAAAGCUCUAUCAGCAGGGAAGAAAAAAAGUCUUUGGCUUUGGACGGUACCUGACUAAGAAGCCCCGGCUAACUACGUGCCAGCAGCCGCGGUAAUACGUAGGGGGCAAGCGUUAUCCGGCUUUACUGGGCGUAAAGGGAGCGUAGACGGCCGCGCACGUCUGGAGUGAACUGCCGG
rnacentral:rRNA from 1 species